GCUAAAUGUAAAAUUGCAGCACUUCUUUAUCACAGAUGAAAAGUGGAUCACUUGCACAGCAGGAGACAUUUAUGUACGUUUUAAAGCCUUAAAUGGAACAUCAAAGCCCUGCUCUGUCAAAAAGCAAUAUACAACUACCAGUUCGCCAUCAUUGCGAUUGGAUUGGAUUUGCAGCCAACAUCCACCAAGAUGUCUGAGGUGACAACACAGACCACAAGUUAUUAUGCUAGGAUGGUCAGCAUUGAGGGCUAGGCCUUGAAGCUAUCCAUCUGUAUGCCUUUGUCGUGUGUUACUGUAAUCUGGAGUUUUAGCAUGCACUAUGCGGGUGAUGGUACAGAGAUCAUCUGUCUAGCAAUGUACAAGUGCCAGUUCAGCACCAGAACAGAGACAAGCCUAGAAUGGAUCUCGUAAGCUUUGUGUCUGUAGACUCAUUAACAUUAUACUGGUGUGUUUUGUUGUAUAUAAUAGAUUUUGAACCAUAAUAUUGGCUGUAUUUACAGUGUU